rnacentral:pre_miRNA from 1 species
GUGUCUUUAGGAGUUCCCUUCAAGCACUUCACAUGGAGCAUUAUUUGUCUUGGAGAAAGCUUAAUUUGAUGCAUUGUGAAGUGCUUGGGGGAACUCUUGAUGUCAA